AACCAUAGAAACCUGCGGAGUACCUGCGGAAGGAUCAUUAACAAUUGUCCACGAUAAAUGGAUAAUUUUAUCCAUAUCCACCUUGUGUGAAUCAACUGAAGUGUUUGUUGGCAGGUUAACACUCUCGACUACGAGAGAUGUGAGCAUUGGCUCGGCCUGCCAAUUUUAUUUGUUUAAACAUGUCUAAAUAGAAUAGCCUGAAAUAUAAAACUUUAUAAUAAAUACAACUUUUAACAAUGG
rnacentral:misc_RNA from 1 species